rnacentral:lncRNA from 1 species
AAAUUUAAUAUUGUUUUUUGAUUAUGUUCUUUUUGAAUUUUAUAUAUUUGAAUAGUAUAUGGAAGUACAUAAAAUUAAAAAAGGAUAGUUGAAUAUACAGUAUAUGCCAAAAUAUACAGUACUGAAAUGAAAAGACAAACAAUAUUACCUUGUUGUCAUCUCCUAGUUUAUUCUCUCAAAACUAACAUACGUACUAUUAGUGUAUUCAUUUAUCGCAGUAUGUGUAAUGUAAGUGUUCGAAGUGUACACUGCCUCACUGUAGGCAGUGUUCAUAUCAUUUAUGCAGAUUCUCAAACAUAUCCCAGAACAGAGGUUGCUGCAGAUUCUUGUAAAAGAUGUUGAUUUGUUCAUGUAAUGCAGGCAAAGUUGUUGACAAAUCUUCACAGUUGAAUACAUUUUCCUUUAAUAUUCCCAUAAGUAGGCAUCAGGUGGUAUAAAAUUGGGAGAAUGGGAUGGCUAUGAGAAGUCAGUACCACAUGAAAUGAUUUGUCCUGGAAAGUUUUCCUACAGAAUGGCUAGAGAUUCUUGAGUUGUAUGGCUGGUUGCCCUGUCCUGUUGAUACC